GGGAUGAGCUCAAGCUUAAAAUCUCCGUGCAAUUUUUGCGCGGCGAAUUGUAGUCUAUAGAAGCGUGGUCAGUAUGGGCACUUGGGUUAAGUUCCUUGGAAGAGGACAGCAUGGAGGGUGAUACUCCCGUUCGUCCCCAAGUUGCUUGUGCGUACGACCCGUUUUCUUUGAGUCGCGUUGUUUGAGAAUGCAGCGCAAAGUAGGUGGUAAAUUCCAUCUAAAGCUAAAUAUUGGUGCGAGACCGAUAGCAUACAAGUACCGUGAGGGAAAGAUGAAAAGAACUUUGAAAAUAGAGUUAAAGAGUACCUGAAACUGCUGAAAGGUAACCAAAUCGUUUCCAGUGUCUAUAAUCCGUAGUAUAUUUCAUUGGCGAGUGUAUGCGUGCGUGUGCUGUUGCAGUGGCCUUUUGGCUGCGCUCGGCGUGUGUGUUGUGUGUGCUUGCUGGUGCCCUGUGCUGUGGUGGGACGUCAAGGUCAGUUCGUAUGCUGCGGGAAAUGGCCACUGAGGAGGUAGGGCUUACGCUUGCGUUUGUCUGUUAUAUCUUGGUGGACGAGUAGUCGCGGUUGGGACUGAGGUGCCUACAACGUGCUUUUGAGUGGAUUUGGGUCUCCGUGUGCGCCGUGUGCGGAUAGCUUGCUAUGCGUGUGUGGCUGUGUAUGGAUUGAUGCGAGUCGUAACUUGUAGCCGUUCGGGACGUUGACG
rnacentral:rRNA from 1 species